AGUAUUAGUGAUGUUGUAAAAAUGUCUGAACAUAUGAAUUUAAUAUUGACUUCAACAUUUAACUAAGAUAAGCU
rnacentral:snoRNA from 1 species